rnacentral:rRNA from 1 species
ACCUACGGGAGGCAGCAGUCGGGAAUAUUGCGCAAUGGAGGCAACUCUGACGCAGUGACGCCGCGUAUAGGAAGAAGGUUUUCGGAUUGUAAACUAUUGUCCUCAGGGAAGAAAAAAGACUGUACCUGAGAAGAAAGCUCCGGCUAACUACGUGCCAGCAGCCGCGGUAAUACGUAGGGAGCAAGCGUUAUCCGGAAUUAUUGGGUGUAAAGGGUGCGUAGACGGCUGUGCAAGUCAGAAGUGAAAGCCCGGGGCUCAACCCCGGGACUGCUUUUGAAACUGCGUGGCUGGAGUGCAGGAGAGGG